rnacentral:tRNA from 14 species
GGUUCUAUAGUGUAGUGGUCAUCACGUCUGCUUUACACGCAGAAGGUCCUGGGUUCAAUCCCCAGUGGAACCA